rnacentral:rRNA from 1 species
AAGUCGUAACAAGGUCUCCGUAGGUGAACCUGCGGAGGGAUCAUUACCGAGUGCGGGCCUCCGCGCCCAACCUCCCAACCCUUUGUCGAUUAAUACCUGUUGCCUCGGGGGCGACCCGGACGUCGCGCCGGGAGCCCCCCGGAGGUCCAACCGAACACACUGCGUCCUUGCGUCGGAGUAUUGAAAACAAUCAAUCAAAACUUUCAACAACGGAUCUCUUGGUUCUGGCAUCGAUGAAGAACGCAGCGAAAUGCGAUAAGUAAUGUGAAUUGCAGAAUUCAGUGAAUCAUCGAAUCUUUGAACGCACAUUGCGCCCUCUGGCUAUUCCGGGGGGCAUGCCUGUUCGAGCGUCAUUACACCACUCAAGCCUGGCUUGGUAUUGGGCGUCGGGACGCACCCCGCGCCUCCAUGUUGUUCGGCUGGACGGUCUGGAAUCUCAGCGUUGUGCAAUCAAUCGCUGUGGGACCGACUGGACGCGCCGUGAAAACGUUUCAUCACAGGUUGACCUCGGAUCGGGUAGGGAUACCCGCUGAACUUAA